rnacentral:lncRNA from 1 species
CUAAUGUGCGUAGCAAGUCAAGAAUAUAAGUUUUGAAUUUUUCUUUGAGUUUGUUAUUUUACUUUAUAGAAUGUGUAUUUUAUCAGGAUCAUUAUUUUCCCUCAUAAGUUUCACAACUAACAGAAUGUAAAACCUUUUUUGACUGGUGCAUCAAAUGUGUCUUUUAUAAACAACUGUUUUCAAAAUUGCAAUGUACCGUCCCGAACAUGCAUGAACUAUUUGCCACUGAACGUUAAACGACCAUCAAAAACCAAGCAAU